UCUCCGUUGGUGAACCAGCGGAGGGAUCAUUACCGAGUUCAUCCGACUCCCAAACCCCUGUGAACAUACCGCACGUUGCUUCGGCGGAGCGCCCCGGCGCCCUCACCCCCCUCGGGGGCGGCGGCCCGGACCCAAGGCGCCCGCCGGGGGACCCAAACACUGCAUUCGCCGCCGGCGGAAUCUACAUCUGAGUGAUUUACAAAUGAAUCAAAACUUUCAACAACGGAUCUCUUGGCUCUG
rnacentral:misc_RNA from 1 species